AUCGUAACAAGGUUUCCGUAGGUGAACCUGCGGAAGGAUCAUUAAAUAAUUUAGAUGGCCUUUGCUAGUUUUCUAGCGAAUGGUUCAUUCUUUUUUACUGUGAACUGUUUUAAUUUUUCAGCGUCUGAGGAAUGUCUUUUAGCCAUAGGGAUAGGCUACUAGAAUGUUAACCGAGCUGAAAGUCAGGCUUAGGCCUGGUAUCCUAUUAAUUAUUUACCAAAAGAAUUCAGUAUUAUAAUUGUAACAUAAGCGUAAAAAACUUAUAAAACAACUUUUAACAACGGAUCUCUUGGUUCUCGCAUCGAUGAAGAACGUAGCAAAGUGCGAUAACUAGUGUGAAUUGCAUAUUCAGUGAAUCAUCGAGUCUUUGAACGCAACUUGCGCUCAAUGGUAUUCCAUUGAGCACGCCUGUUUCAGUAUCAAAAACACCCCACAUUCAUAAUUUUGUUGUGAAUGGAAAUGAGAGUUUCGGCUUUAUUGCUGAAUUCUUUAAAAUUAUUAGGCCUGAACUAUUGUUCUUUCUGCCUGAACAUUUUUUUAAUAUAAAGGAAUGCUCUAGUAAAAAGACUAUCUCUGGGGCCUCCCAAAUAAAUC
rnacentral:rRNA from 1 species